UCAAACUUGGUCAUUUAGAGGAAGUAAAAGUCGUAACAAGGUUUCCGUAGGUGAACCUGCGGAAGGAUCAUUAUCGAAUGAGUUUUUGAAAUGGGUUGUAGCUGGUCUUUUAUAAGACAUGUGUAACACCCUACUCAUUUACUCUAUAAACCUUUGUGCAGAACUGCUAGAGAGUUGUAUUAUAUACGUAUAUAUAUAUGUGGGAUAAAUAUAUAUUAAUCUAGUCGCAAGACUUGGAUUGAUAUUGAUAUCACGCUCUCUAUGUCUUUUUUAUCCUUAUAAACGCUUUAGUAACAGAAUGUUGUUAUAUUUGCAUUUAAAUGCAUUAUAAUAUAACUUUCAGCAACGGAUCUCUUGGCUCUCGCAUCAAUGAAGAACGCAGC
rnacentral:misc_RNA from 1 species